rnacentral:rRNA from 2 species
GAAAGGGUUGCAAUAAACUGGUGGCUGCGACUGUUUAAUAAAAACACAGCACUCUGCAAACACGAAAGUGGACGUAUAGGGUGUGACGCCUGCCCGGUGCUGGAAGAUUAAAUGAUGGGGUGCAAGCUCUUGAUUGAAGUCCCAGUAAACGGCGGCCGUAACUAUAACGGUCCUAAGGUAGCGAAAUUCCUUGUCGGGUAAGUUCCGACCUGCACGAAUGGCGUAACGAUGGCCACACUGUCUCCUCCCGAGACUCAGCGAAGUUGAAAUGUUUGUGAUGAUGCAAUCUACCCGCGGCUAGACGGAAAGACCCCAUGAACCUUUACUGUAGCUUUGCAUUGGACUUUGAACCAAUCUGUGUAGGAUAGGUGGGAGGCUUUGAAGCGGGGACGCCAGUUCUCGUGGAGCCAUCCUUGAAAUACCACCCUGGUUUGUUUGAGGUUCUAACCUUGGUCCGUUAUCCGGAUCGGGGACAGUGCAUGGUAGGCAGUUUGACUGGGGCGGUCUCCUCCUAAAGUGUAACGGAGGAGUUCGAAGGUACGCUAGGUACGGUCGGACAUCGUGCUAAUAGUGCAAUGGCAUAAGCGUGCUUAACUGCGAGACCGACAAGUCGAGCAGGUACGAAAGUAGGACAUAGUGAUCCGGUGGUUCUGUAUGGAAGGGCCAUCGCUCAACGGAUAAAAGGUACUCUGGGGAUAACAGGCUGAUUCCUCCCAAGAGUUCAUAUCGACGGGGGAGUUUGGCACCUCGAUGUCGGCUCAUCACAUCCUGGGGCUGUAGCCGGUCCCAAGGGUAUGGCUGUUCGCCAUUUAAAGUGGUACGUGAGCUGGGUUUAAAACGUCGUGAGACAGUUUGGUCCCUAUCUGCCGUGGGCGUUGGAAAUUUGAAGGGGGCUGCUCCUAGUACGAGAGGACCGGAGUGGACGAACCUCUGGUGUACCGGUUGUCACGCCAGUGGCAUUGCCGGGUAGCUAAGUUCGGAAGAGAUAACCGCUGAAAGCAUCUAAGCGGGAAACUUGCCUUGAGAUGAGAUUUCCCGGAGCCUUGAGCUCCUUGAAGGGUCGUUCGAGACCAGGACGUUGAUAGGCUGGGUGUGGAAGUGCAGUAAUGCAUUAAGCUAACCAGUACUAAUUGCCCGUACGGCUUGUCCCU